AUACGUAGGGUGCAAGCGUUAAUCGGAAUUACUGGGCGUAAAGCGUGCGCAGGCGGUUUUGUAAGACAGUGGUGAAAUCCCCGGGCUCAACCUGGGAACUGCCAUUGUGACUGCAAGGCUGGAGUGCGGCAGAGGGGGAUGGAAUUUCGCGUGUAGCAGUGAAAUGCGUAGAUAUGCGGAGGAACACCGAUGGCGAAGGCAAUCCCCUGGGCCUGCACUGACGCUCAUGCACGAAAGCGUGGGGAGCAAACAGGAUUAGAUACCCUGGUAGUCCACGCCCUAAACGAUGUCAACUGGUUGUUGGGGAUUUAUUUUCUCAGUAACGAAGCUAACGCGUGAAGUUGACCGCCUGGGGAGUACGGCCGCAAGGUUAAAACUCAAAUGAAUUGACGGGG
rnacentral:rRNA from 1 species